rnacentral:miRNA from 1 species
UCUCACAUCCCUUGCAUGGUGGAGGGCGAGAUUUCUAAAAAACCCCUCCCACAUGCAGGGUUUGCAGGA